GACGAACGCUGGCGGCGUGCUUAACACAUGCAAGUCGAACGGAAAGGCCUGCUUUCCCUUGUGGAUUGCGGGUACUCGAGUGGCGAACGGGUGAGUAACACGUGAGUGAUCUGCCCCCAACUUGGGUAUAAGCCUGGGAAACUGGGUCUAAUUCCCGAUAGGACUGCAGGGUGGUGCCUGUGGUGGAAAACGAUUUUCUAGUGGUUGGGGAUGAGCUCGCGGCCUAUCAGCUUGUUGGUGGGGUAAUGACCUACCAAGGCAGCGACGGGUAGCCGGCCUGAGAGGGUGGACGGCCACAUUGGGACUGAGAUACGGCCCAGACUCCUACGGGAGGCAGCAGUGGGGAAUAUUGCACAAUGGGCGGAAGCCUGAUGCAGCGACGCCGCGUGGGGGAUGACGGCCUUCGGGUUGUAAACUCCUUUCGACCGCGAGGAAGCCACCUGGUUGGAAGGGUGGUGACGGUAGUGGUAGAAGAAGCACCGGCUAACUACGUG
rnacentral:rRNA from 1 species